AUGAUAUCAAACUCAUGUUAUCACAUGACACAAAGCACCUGCAACUAGCAACGCCAACAUUAGUAGCUGAGCAAAGCCUACUUAGCCAUUCAAUAUUUGCUAGGAGGGGGAAAGUGUUUGGGUUUCAUGGCAAUAUCAGGAGGCAAUUAUUUCAGUGGUAGGCAGCGAGCAUGUGACGAAGGAAACAUGAAUCUAGCAUAACAAGUCUAGAGAUGGAAUCAAGGUCAUAUCAUCUUGCAUGUGAUGUCCUCAGCUUGGAACUGCUCUUGUUCGUCCUGCACGUACUCUGCCGGAUCCACGUACUCUCUCUCUGAUCCCGGUGCUACCCAACAUAAAAAAUAGCAUCCAAUGAACAACAUCACUUCAAGAUGCAACAAGCACAUGAUGCAUGAGAUGAAAAUGAACAUGCACCUCUAUUCUACUCACUUGCACAUGCAUGAGAAGGUAAUACAAGUUCCUGGAAAGAAUUGCACUCUAAGCUAUCCUGACAUGCAUGAGGAUGGCAUGAACAGAUGCAUCACGCGAAAACGAUGCAAAAACAUAUAAAGAACGUUACGAACGGAGCUACAGAUCAACCGGAAACAACGAAAUAAGAAAUGGAGUCCUACGGAUCAAAUCCGACACAACACACUCCAAUGGCAUACUUGUGGUACUCCCAGGUUGCCAAGACAUAAAACAAACAAGUAUGUAUGGGAUGGUGCAAAGAAUAUCACCACACCAUCAUCUAUGCACUCACAAGCAUCAAAACAUCAAAACUAUACAAUCUGCCAUAAACAACAUCAUAGCAGUUUGAGGGCUACAUGCAAAGCACCUACAACCACCCAAAUAUGCCAAAUAGGAUAUGUGGCAGAAGCUAUUCAAAAGCUCUACAAGCAUGAGCAAAAAUAUAAUACAAAGGAGUUUCACACAGAAAAUUCUACAGCUGCUAACUUGGACAAAAAUAUCAGUUUUCAGGGACUUAGUGAAAAUUCCAGAUUCUCACUAGCUGUUUAUGCUCUGAAGCAUUUUGACAGCACCCAAAACAAUAACUAUAGGGCUUAAAAUGGAAUGAAAAUUGAUAGCAAGGGUUGAUUCCCAACACAUGGAGUUCUACAAGCACAACAACAUGAGAAGAAAAUAUAAGCAGAUUCUCAGACUUGGUGAAAAUCACAGAUUUUCACUAAACUGGAAUUUCAGCCACAUGCCUACUUUGACUAGGCACAACUUGCCCACAUGAACUUCUAAGCAUGAAACAAAACCAACAUGCUAUAGAGGGGUUCACCCUCUACUGCCACAACAAAGAAUCAACCUCUUGGGACCAUCACAUCACAUGGAACCAAGCUCUAAACAUUGAACAAAAUAGAAAUAUGACAUUCCCAAAAAGUGUUCCAAAGUGGAAUCUGAACCCACCAUUGGAUUCCUGGGAUGAUUCUACCCCAAAAACAUAUAUAAUACCUAUGUACUUGCAUAGAACAAAUGGGCACAAACUUGAAAAUAAAAUCUAUAUGGAAUCACAUAGAGGUGAAUAGUGCAUCAUCACAUGUGCUUCCACUAGCUCAUCACUUGUACAUGCUCUUGCACAUGUCCACAACACCAAUGGUGCAUAUGAGGGGUAGACCUCAUACUCAUGUGCCUUCGCACACCACCACACACUCACAUGCCUCAAGCACAACAUAUAGCAAGUCCUACACAUGCUAGUUAGAACACUCCACUACCUACACACACAUCAUGCCUCUCUACACCUACACAUAUAAACUUGCACAUGUGCUACCAAGGCACAACAUGACUUGGCAUGUGUGUGACACACACACACAAGCACUCACAACUUGCACACACAUAUCACAAGAUCAACUAACACACACACAAGGUGUGUGUGGGGGGCACAUACACACCUACACAUCACUUGCACAAGCUAGUGCAUGAGCUCAACACCAAGCACAUGAGAAACACACUCACAUACAUGCUACUAGCCUAGUGCAACACACGCAACCAAACACACCCACACAUACAUGGCAUCUAGCUCACAAAACACAUAUGCAUUCAACCUACACAUGCAUUUCUACCAAGAUAUAUCUACACAUGCACUCUGCGCUUGCUAGCAUCAAACACUAGGAACAACAUGCUGCUGUGAGAAGAAAUAAAAAUACCCCAGAUGAGACCAAGCAUCUGCAGCCACUAUACAAGAAAACAUAGCAAAACAGAGAAGAAAUGCAACAACAAAUAAAAAGGACAGGGGAGUGAUUCGAUCCCUAGACCCCCUGUAUCACCACACAUGACCAACACCACUGUGUUACUAGCACUUGCUCGACAGAACAAAGGGGACAAGCAAGGUAAGCUACUACUGAAGCCACUGCUUGCUACUGUGCCGAAACAAGGAUUUAAAAAGGGGUGUGCCGAGGGGAUUCGAUCCCACGACCUGCCACUGCACCCAAAAGACACCUACCACUCUGCUGCUGCAUCGAAACUUAAUAGAGGAGGGGAGUAAACCCUUUUGAGCAACCCCCUCAUGCCUAUCCUCUGCCCGACGGUGGCCGGAACAGGGGAAGGAGCUCGCCGAUGUUACAUGAUAAAUUAAGCUACGGCUUGUCGAUGGAAGGGAAUAGGAGUUCCCACGGUUCCAUUCCUACAUCUAAAUCUACUCGGGAAGGCCUAUAGCAACGGC
rnacentral:lncRNA from 1 species